UUGCAGGUCCAUAGGUUCAGUCCUU
rnacentral:misc_RNA from 1 species